AUGGAAGGGUCGGGGGCAGGAGGAGGGGGAGGGGGCGCGGCGGUGUCGAAGAAGAAGAGCUCCAAGGAGGGGGAGGAGGAGAGCCUGCCGCCGGGGUUCAGGUUCCACCCCACCGACGAGGAGCUCAUCACCUACUACCUCCGCGGCAAGAUCGCCGACGGCAGCUUCACGGCCAGGGCCAUCACCGAGGUUGACCUCAACAAGUGCGAGCCAUGGGAUCUCCCAGAGAAGGCGAAAAUGGGAGAAAAGGAGUGGUACUUCUUCAGCCUAAGGGACCGCAAGUACCCGACCGGGGUGCGAACAAACCGCGCAACUAAUGCUGGCUACUGGAAGACGACGGGGAAGGACAAGGAGAUAUUCACCGGGCAACCGCCAUCGGCACAAGAGCUAGUCGGGAUGAAGAAAACCCUAGUCUUCUACAAGGGGAGGGCUCCAAGAGGCGAGAAGAGCAACUGGGUCAUGCACGAGUACCGCCUCCACCUGAAGCCAGCCUCCAAAUCAAACAAGGAUGAAUGGGUUGUAUGCCGCAUCUUCGCCAAGAGCCCGGGCGUGAAGAAGUACCCGUCGAGCACCAACGCGCACUCCCGGUCCCACCACCACCCGUACACGCUGGACAUGGUCCCGCAGUUCCUCCCGACGCUGCUGGGGCACGACCUGUUCGGCGGCGGCCGCGGGCACCACCACCCGUACAUGACCCCCGCCGACCUGGCGGAGCUCUCGCGCUUCGCCAGGGGCACGCCAGGGUUGCACCCGCACAUCCAGCCGCACCCCGCCGGCGCCGGGUACCUCAACCCGCCGGGCCCCUUCACGCUCUCCAGCCUCAACCUCAACCUCGGGGGCCCGUCGCCGGCGAUGCCGUCGCCCCAUCACGUCCUCCACCACGCCAUGUCGAUGCCGAUGGGCCAGCAGCAGCAGCAGGCGGGCGGUGCCAAUGGCCAGGCGAUGACGAUGGAGCAGCACAUGGCCGCGGGGCUCGGCGGCAUCCCGGCCGCCGGAGGGGACGGCGGGUUCGGCGGAGAGGGGCAUGCGGCAGGGGGUGCCGGCAUGAGGUACCAGAACCUGGACGUAGAUCAGAUGGUGGAGAGGUACUGGCCUGGUAGCUACUGA
rnacentral:rRNA from 1 species